AUGAACGCUGGCGGUAUGCUUAACACAUGCAAGUCGAACGGUCUCUUCGGAGAUAGUGGCGGACGGGUGAGUAACGCGUGAGAAUCUGUCUUCAGGUCGGGGACAACCACUGGAAACGGUGGCUAAUACCGGAUGUGCCUUUGGGUGAAAGAUUAAUUGCCUGGAGAUGAGCUCGCGUCUGAUUAGCUAGUAGGUGUGGUAAGAGCGCACCUAGGCGACGAUCAGUAGCUGGUCUGAGAGGAUGAUCAGCCACACUGGGACUGAGACACGGCCCAGACUCCUACGGGAGGCAGCAGUGGGGAAUUUUCCGCAAUGGGCGAAAGCCUAACGGAGCAAUACCGCGUGAGGGAGGAAGGCUCUUGGGUUGUAAACCUCUUUUCUCAAGGAAGAACACAAUGACGGUACCUGAGGAAUCAGCAUCGGCUAACUCCGUGCCAGCAGCCGCGGUAAUACGGAGGAUGCAAGCGUUAUCCGGAAUGAUUGGGCGUAAAGCGUCCGCAGGUGGCUUUGUAAGUCUGCUGUUAAAGAGUGAGGCUCAACCUCAUAAAAGCAGUGGAAACUACAAGGCUAGAGUACGUUCGGGGCAGAAGGAAUUCCUGGUGUAGCGGUGAAAUGCGUAGAGAUCAGGAAGAACACCGGUGGCGAAAGCGUUCUGCUAGGCCGUAACUGACACUGAGGGACGAAAGCUAGGGGAGCGAAUGGGAUUAGAUACCCCAGUAGUCCUAGCCGUAAACGAUGGAUACUAGGCGUGGCUUGUAUCGACCCGAGCCGUGCCGGAGCUAACGCGUUAAGUAUCCCGCCUGGGGAGUACGCACGCAAGUGUGAAACUCAAAGGAAUUGACGGGGGCCCGCACAAGCGGUGGAGUAUGUGGUUUAAUUCGAUGCAACGCGAAGAACCUUACCAAGACUUGACAUGUCGCGAACCUUUGUGAAAGCAGAGGGUGCCUUCGGGAGCGCGAACACAGGUGGUGCAUGGCUGUCGUCAGCUCGUGUCGUGAGAUGUUGGGUUAAGUCCCGCAACGAGCGCAACCCUCGUUUUUAGUUGCCAGCAUUAAGUUGGGCACUCUAGAGAGACUGCCGGUGACAAACCGGAGGAAGGUGGGGAUGACGUCAAGUCAGCAUGCCCCUUACGUCUUGGGCUACACACGUACUACAAUGCUACGGACAAAGGGCAGCAAGCUAGUGAUAGCAAGCAAAUCUCAUAAACCGUAGCUCAGUUCAGAUCGCAGGCUGCAACUCGCCUGCGUGAAGUCGGAAUCGCUAGUAAUUGCAGGUCAGCAUACUGCAGUGAAUUCGUUCCCGGGCCUUGUACACACCGCCCGUCACACCAUGGAAGCUGGCAACGCCCGGAGUCAUUACUCCAACUGUUCGCAGAGGAGGAUGCCUAAGGCAGUGCUGGUGACUGGGGUG
rnacentral:rRNA from 1 species